UGCGUAGGCGGGUCUUUAAGUCAGGGGUGAAAUCCUGGAGCUCAACUCCAGAACUGCCUUUGAUACUGAAGAUCUUGAGUUCGGGAGAGGUGAGUGGAACUGCGAGUGUAGAGGUGAAAUUCGUAGAUAUUCGCAAGAACACCAGUGGCGAAGGCGGCUCACUGGCCCGAUACUGACGCUGAGGACGAAAGCUGGGGAGCAAAC
rnacentral:rRNA from 1 species